rnacentral:rRNA from 1 species
UUGAUGUCAUAAUUUGGUGUCUUGGGAAUCAGGACUGUUACUUUGAAAAAUUAGAGUGUUUAAAGCAGGCUCACGCUUGAAUACAUUAGCAUGGAAUAAUGAAAUAGGACGUUUGAUUCUAUUUGUUGGCUUCUAGGAUCGACGUAAUGAUUAAUAGGGAUAGUUGGGGGCAUUAGUAUUCAAUUGUCAGAGGUGAAAUUCUUGGAUUUAUUGAAGACUAACUACUGCGAAAAGCAUUUGCCAAGGAUGUUUUCAUUAAUCAAGAACGAAAGUUAGGGGAUCGAAGACGAUCAGAUACCGUCGUAGCCUUAACCAUAAACUAUGCCGACUAGGGAUCGGAUGAUGUUAAUUUUUAAUGACUCAUUCGGCGCCUUACG